rnacentral:lncRNA from 10 species
AUCCUGCUUACUUCUCCAGCUUUUGAAGCACAGAUUAUUUUUCUUCUCUUCAUCAUAUAAAAAUGGAAAUUAUCAAAACAAAACAUCAUCAAAACAAAACAUCAUCAAAAACAGGUUGCUCUCUGAGUAAAGGUUUUAUGUUUGUUUGGGAUAGAAUCUCAUUCUGUCACCCAGGCCAGAGAGCACUGACAUUAUCAUGGCUCACUGCAACCUCAAACUCCCAAGCUCAAGCGAUCCUCCCACCUCAGCCUCCCAAGUAGCUGGGACCACAGAUUCACCUGUUUGCUUCCUAAGACAGAAAAUAAAUAGGAGGAAAAGGAUCAGAGUCAAAAUUCUGAUAGGCCGCUCCAUUGGGAAGUCAAGACGGUAUCUUAAGUGCUGUAUUCCACUCGAUGCUCUAUUUUCCUGCUUGCUGCAGUAACUGUGGUUUCAUACAGAGUAUUAGAACUACCAGGGGCAAACCAGAGACAACAACAUCUACCUCAGAGUAAUAUUUUUGAGAUUAAAUG